rnacentral:rRNA from 1 species
UACGAAGGGGGGCUAGCGUUGCUCGGAAUUACUGGGCGUAAAGGGCGCGUAGGCGGUCUCGUGUGUCUGCUGUGAAAGCACACGGCUUAACUGUGUGAAGUCGGUGGAAACUGCGAGACUUGAGGCUGGGAGAGGUUGGUGGAAUUCCCUGUGUAGCGGUGAAAUGCGCAGAUAUCAGGAGGAACACCGGUGGCGAAGGCGGUUCUCUGGGCAUUACCCUGACGUGAGGAGCGAAAAGUGUGGGGAGCGAACAGG